ACCAGGGUAUGCUCAGUAGCGGCGAGUGAAGCGGCAAGAGCUCAGAUUUGAAAUUCACCUAGUGUGCGAGUUGUAAAUUGCAGGUUGGAGUCUCGGGUUAGACGUGUGUGCAAGUCCCUUGGAACAGGGUGCCACUGAGGGUGAGAGCCCCGUAGCGUGCAUGUCGACACCUGUGAGGCCCUUCUGACGAGUCGAGUUGUUUGGGAAUGCAGCUCUAAGUGGGUGGUAAAUUCCAUCUAAGGCUAAAUAUUGGCGAGAGACCGAUAGCGAACAAGUACUGUGAAGGAAAGAUGAAAAGCACUUUGAAAAGAGAGUGAAACAGCACGUGAAAUUGUUGAAAGGGAAGGGUAUUGGGCUCGACAUGGGAUUUACGCAUCGUUGCCUCUCGUGGGCGGCGCUCUGGGUUUUUCCUGGGCCAGCAUCGGUUUUCGUUGCAGGAUAAGGACAAUUGGAAUGUGGCUCCUCGGAGUGUUAUAGCCUUUUGUAGAUGCUGCGUAUGGGGACCGAGGGCUGCGGCGGACUCGUUUCGUCUCGGAUGCUGGCACAACGGCGCAAUACCGCCCGUCUUGAACAACGAACCAC
rnacentral:rRNA from 1 species